AGAGUUUGAUCCUGGCUCAGAACGAACGCUGGCGGCAGGCUUAACACAUGCAAGUCGAGCGCCGUAGCAAUACGGAGCGGCAGACGGGUGAGUAACGCGUGGGAACGUACCCCCCGGUUCGGAAUAACCCAGGGAAACUUGGGCUAAUACCGGAUACGGCUGGAAGGCGAAAGAUUCAUCGCCGGGGGAUCGGCCCGCGUCCGAUUAGCUAGUUGGUGAGGUAACGGCCCACCAAGGCGACGAUCGGUAGCUGGUCUGAGAGGAUGAUCAGCCACAUUGGGACUGAGACACGGCCCAAACUCCUACGGGAGGCAGCAGUGGGGAAUAUUGGACAAUGGGCGCAAGCCUGAUCCAGCCAUGCCGCGUGAGUGAUGAAGGCCUUAGGGUUGUAAAGCUCUUUCGCCCACGACGAUAAUGACGGUAGUGGGAGAAGAAGCCCCGGCUAACUUCGUGCCAGCAGCCGCGGUAAUACGAAGGGGGCUAGCGUUGUUCGGAAUUACUGGGCGUAAAGCGGUGUAGGCGGACUUUUAAGUCAGGGGUGAAAUGCCGAGGCUCAACCUCGGAACUGCCUUUGAUACUGGGAGUCUUGAGUCCGGGAGAGGUGAGUGGAACUGCGAGUGUAGAGGUGAAGUUCGUAGAUAUUCGCAAGAACACCAGUGGCGAAGGCGGCUCACUGGCCCGGAACUGACGCUGAGCGCGAAAGCGUGGGGAGCAAACAGGAUUAGAUACCCUAGUAGUCC
rnacentral:rRNA from 1 species